AUACGGAAGGUGCAAGCGUUAAUCGGAAUCACUGGGCGUAAAGCGCUCGUAGGUGGCUUUGUAAGUCAGGUGUGAAAGCCCACGGCUCAACCGUGGAAUUGCACUUGAUACUGCAUUGCUUGAGUUCGGGAGAGGGUAGUGGAAUUCCAGGUGUAGGAGUGAAAUCCGUAGAGAUCUGGAGGAACACCAGUGGCGAAGGAAACGACUACCUGGACCGAUACUGACACUGAGGAGCGAAAGCGUGGGGAGC
rnacentral:rRNA from 1 species